UAAAGCGAUUCAGCGGGUUACGAUUGACGGAGCGAAGCGACGUCAAAGCGUAUACAAAGUCGAGUCGGUUUAAGGAUACGUUCGUUGGGUAGGGGAGCGUUCUGUAAGCCCGUGAAGGUGGCCUGUGAGGGUUGCUGGAGGUAUCAGAAGUGCGAAUGCUGACAUAAGUAACGAUAAAGCGGGUGAAAAGCCCGCUCGCCGGAAGACCAAGGGUUCCUGUCCAACGUUAAUCGGGGCAGGGUGAGUCGACCCCUAAGGCGAGGCCGAAAGGCGUAGUCGAUGGGAAACGGGUUAAUAUUCCCGUACUUGGUGUUACUGCGAAGGGGGGACGGAGAAGGCUAUGUUGGCCGGGCGACGGUU
rnacentral:rRNA from 1 species